UGGGGAAUUUUGGACAAUGGGGGAAACCCUGAUCCAGCCAUCCCGCGUGUGCGAUGAAGGCCUUCGGGUUGUAAAGCACUUUUGGCAGGAAAGAAACGUCGCGGGUUAAUACCCCGCGAAACUGACGGUACCUGCAGAAUAAGCACCGGCUAACUACGUGCCAGCAGCCGCGGUAAUACGUAGGGUGCAAGCGUUAAUCGGAAUUACUGGGCGUAAAGCGUGCGCAGGCGGUUCGGAAAGAAAGAUGUGAAAUCCCAGAGCUUAACUUUGGAACUGCAUUUUUAACUACCGGGCUAGAGUGUGUCAGAGGGAGGUGGAAUUCCGCGUGUAGCAGUGAAAUGCGUAGAUAUGCGGAGGAACACCGAUGGCGAAGGCAGCCUCCUGGGAUAACACUGACGUUCAUGCACGAAAGCGUGGGGAGCAAACAGGAUUAGAUACCCUGGUAGUCCACGCCCUAAACGAUGUCAACUAGCUGUUGGGGCCUUCGGGCCUUGGUAGCGCAGCUAACGCGUGAAGUUGACCGCCUGGGGAGUACGGUCGCAAGAUUAAAACUCAAAGGAAUUGACGGGGGUCAUAGCUG
rnacentral:rRNA from 1 species